UGGUGCUGUAUGUGCAUCUGACUCUGGUCGUCAUGUUCAUCGUACUCUCAGCAUCUGUGCUGAUAUUCUGCUGGAAGAGGGCCAGGAAACCCAGAGAAACUGCUGAUGAGGCUGAGCAUGUCAAUGUCACAGAGGCUGACAGAGAGUGUGAGGAGGUCAGAGAGGAGGACAGAGGGAGCAGAUCUCCUCCUGUAGAAAUGUCUGUUCUCUCCAUUUCCCAC